rnacentral:rRNA from 1 species
CCUACGGGUGGCAGCAGUGAGGAAUAUUGGUCAAUGGGCGCGAGCCUGAACCAGCCAAGUAGCGUGAAGGAUGACUGCCCUACGGGUUGUAAACUUCUUUUAUAAAGGAAUAAAGUGCGGCACGUGUGCCUUUUUGUAUGUACCUUAUGAAUAAGGAUAGGCUAACUCCGUGCCAGCAGCCGCGGUAAUACGGAGGAUCCGAGCGUUAUCCGGUAUUAUUUGGUUUAAAGGGAGCGUAGAUGGGUUGUUAAGUCAGGUGUGAAAGUUUGCGGCUCAACCGUAAAAUUGCAGUUGAUACUGGCAGUCUUGAGUACAGUUGAGGUAGGCGGAAUUCGUGGUGUAGCGGUGAAAUGCUUAGAUAUCACGAAGAACUCCGAUUGCGAAGGCAGCUUACUAAACUGCCACUGACAUUGAUGCUCGAAAGUGUGGGUAUCAAACAGGAUUAGAUACCCUUGUAGUC